rnacentral:rRNA from 1 species
GGUCCCGCCUGCCCUGUGACUAUAUGUUUAACGGCCGCGGUAUUUUGACCGUGCAAAGGUAGCGCAAUCACUUGUCUCUUAAAUGGAGACCUGUAUGAAAGGCACCACGAGGGCUUAGCUGUCUCCCCUCUAAAGUCAGUGAAAUUGAUCUCCCCGUGCAGAAGCGGGGGUACACUCGUAAGACGAGAAGACCCUAUGGAGCUUAAGACACAAGGCGACCCAUGUGAAACACGCCCCUCCAAAGGGACUGAAUGAAAUGAACCCCGCUAGAAUGUCUUCGGUUGGGGCGACCGCGGGGAAAGACAAAACCCCCGCAUGGAUAGGGGUUACUACUCCCCCUAAAACCUAGACCCGCAGGUCAAACCAACAGUAUUUCUGACCACCAAAGAGCCGGCAAUGCCGAUCGACGGACCGAGUUACCCUAGGGAUAACAGCGCAAUCCCCUCCCAGAGCCCUUAUCGACAAGGGGGUUUACGACCUCGAUGUUGGAUCAGGACAUCCUAAUGGUGCAGCCGCUAUUAAGGGUUCGUUUGUUCAACGAUUAACAGUCCUACGUGAUCUGAGUUCAGACCGG